AUUUAAUUCAUUUCUACACAGCACUGACUUCUAGACUGGUUUCUUCAAGUCACCUCUCCUAAGGACCAAGUAUAAACCGAAUAUCUCUGCUUCAGCAUCUUCUGGGCACUCAAGACACGGCAUGGAUGAAACGGAACUCAUUACCUUCCUCUUCCUACCCCUCCAAACCCCUCUCAUUGGCCAGCUACUAUUCCACCUAGUCUCUGCGCAGGUUCCUGCCUUGAAUUCCUGCCCUGACUUCCUUCGAGGGACCGGGACCCGUGAGUUUCCACACAGUCUCUCAAUGAAACCCAGAGCUUACUGAUCGGCUAGACUGGCUGGCGAGCGAUCCUAGGAUCACAGACCUGCUGCCACGCCAGUCCAAACUCGGGUUCUCAUGCUUGAAAACAAGCACCUCACCCAUGACGCCAUCUCCACAGCCCGGUCGUUACUUCCGUUUUGUUUUGUAUUGUCCUAGCCAGCCUUAAACUCACUGUCCUCCUGCCUCGCCUUUCCAAGUAUGGGGAUUACAAGAAUCUGCCACCACACCUUGCUCUCCAUCACUAGCUUUAGAAAGGGGAGGGAGUCUUAUCAGUACAACUUACAAUAAAAUAUCCAAAUUUUAAAUGGAAAGCUUGACUGAUUUUUUAAUUAUCCUAUUAUCCACCGAUGUAGCCACUAC